rnacentral:rRNA from 1 species
CCUACGGGUGGCAGCAGUAGGGAAUCUUUCACAAUGGGCGAAAGCCUGAUGGAGCAACGCCGCGUGCAGGAUGAAGGCUCUCUGGUUGUUAACUGCUUUUAUAAGCGAGAAAUAUGAUGGUAACUUAUGAAUUAGGAUCGGCUCACUACAUGCCAGCAGCCGCGGUCAUACGUAGGAUCCGAGCAUUAUCCGGAGUGACUGGGUGUAAAGAGUUGCGUAGGUGGCAUAAUAAGGAGCUAGUGAAAUCUGGGGGCUCAACCAUUCAGACUAUUAGCUAAACUGUUAAGCUCGAGAACGUUAGGGGUAACUGGAAUGCCUAGUGUAGCAGUGAAAUGCAUAGAUAUUA